GGGGAGGUAUAUAUAUAUAUAUAUAUAUAUAUACAUACAAUGACACUGAUAUUAAUUACCAUUGGAGCACUGCUACAUAAGGAUUAUUAAGACAGUGAUAUUUGAAAGGCACAACACUAUCACUAUCUAUCUCUAGCUGUUGUUUGUCUUGCAAAAUGCCCAAGAACUCGACAAAUGAAAGCCAGCCUCCACCUGCAGGAUACCCAACUGGAACUGGGAAUCCCUCCACAGGGAAGAAGUGCUGUGCUCGGGGCAAGAAGAAAGGAGACAGGGGCUUCAUAGAGGGAUGCCUCUUCGCUUUGUGCUGCUGUUGGCUCUGUGAAGAAUGUUACUAAUCGAUCUUAUUGUAAACGAGGAUUUCGAAUAAGCAAAACUGUCAUAUGGUAUCAGUAUACCAUCGUUGAUCUUUCCUUUUUUUCUUUUUUCUCCUUCUCGAGUGUGUUAAUUAUGAGUGAUUUUCUAACUAUUGUUGAUCAUUAGACUACAGCUAUUCUGUGUGCGAGCUUAUAUAUUUAUGAUA